GACGAACGCUGGUGGCGUGCUUAACACAUGCAAGUCGAACGGAAAGGCCCUGCUUUUGUGGGGUGCUCGAGUGGCGAACGGGUGAGUAACACGUGAGUAACCUGCCCUUGACUUUGGGAUAACUUCAGGAAACUGGGGCUAAUACCGGAUAGGAGCUCCUGCUGCAUGGUGGGGGUUGGAAAGUUUCGGCGGUUGGGGAUGGACUCGCGGCUUAUCAGCUUGUUGGUGGGGUAGUGGCUUACCAAGGCUUUGACGGGUAGCCGGCCUGAGAGGGUGACCGGCCACAUUGGGACUGAGAUACGGCCCAGACUCCUACGGGAGGCAGCAGUGGGGAAUAUUGCACAAUGGGCGGAAGCCUGAUGCAGCAACGCCGCAUGCGGGAUGACGGCCUUCGGGUUGUAAACCGCUUUCGCCUGUGACGAAGCGUGAGUGACGGUAAUGGGUAAAGGAGCACCGGCUAACUAC
rnacentral:rRNA from 1 species